rnacentral:tRNA from 1 species
GCGCUCAUAGCUCAGCUGGAUAGAGUUUUUGGCUUCGAACCAAAAGGUCCCAGGUUCGAAUCCUGGUGAGCGCA